GACGAACGCUGGCGGCGUGCUUAACACAUGCAAGUCGAACGGAAAGGCCCUGCUUUUGUGGGGUGCUCGAGUGGCGAACGGGUGAGUAACACGUGAGUAACCUGCCCUUGACUUUGGGAUAACUUCAGGAAACUGGGGCUAAUACCGGAUAGGAGCUCCUGCUGCAUGGUGGGGGUUGGAAAGUUUCGGCGGUUGGGGAUGGACUCGCGGCUUAUCAGCUUGUUGGUGGGGUAGUGGCUUACCAAGGCUUUGACGGGUAGCCGGCCUGAGAGGGUGACCGGCCACAUUGGGACUGAGAAACGGGCCAGACUCCUACGGGAGGCAGCAGUGGGGAAUAGUGCACAAUGGGCGGAAGCCUGAUGCAGCAACGCCGCGUGCGGGAUGACGGCCUUCGGGUUGUAAACCGCUUUCGCCUGUGACGAAGCGUGAGUGACGGUAAUGGGUAAAGAAGCACCGGCUAACUACGUG
rnacentral:rRNA from 1 species